UAUAAGAAAGUUGAAGUACCUGGUAAAGACAACAAUAACCUUUCUUUAAAAUCUGCCACCUGUCUAAAAGAGGGGUAUUUAUUGUCCAAAAAAUUUGAAACUGAACUAAAGAGUUGUGUAACUGAGCCAUAUGGCUCACUAACUAAGCCAUAUUAUCCUUUUGUGAGACAAAAGGUAACUGAAAGACAAGCCAUAGUUACUAAGGAACUAAUAAAAUUGAAAUCUAAUUGUCACCUUUACGUCAAAUCACACAUUUUUGAUAGAAAAAUCCAAAACUUCUCUUCACACUAUUACCAACCAAUUUUGGGGGUAAAUUUUUCAAAUUCAAAUUUCAAAUAUCAUUGAAUACUAUAUACUCUUUCACAUUUAUCACAUUUCAUUCUUACUCUUCUUUCUCUCACUACUUUUAUCUUUUUCUCUCAGUAUUUUUAUCUUUCUACUUGUCUGAUCUCCAUUUUUUCUCUUCUCAUCUUGCAGGAAAACUAUUCAUUUUUUGAACAACAACACAAGUAUACGAACUUUGUUUUCUCUUUCACUAAAGAUCCGUAAAAAGUACAUCAAUACUUAACAUUGAUCUUAAAUAUUGUUGGAUAGAAGACAAUGAAAAUUUAAAAAAAGGAAAAAGCUGAAGGUUAUCUAUGGUGAUGGAGAUCUAGAAGAAAAGGUCGCGGGUAGGAGAAAUAUAACAUAGAAAGAAAAAAAAUUGGUGAAAGAAAGAUAACUGAUAACUUGAGAAGAUGAGUUGCUGUUGUUCCUUGUCUUUCCCUUCUGCAUCUUUGAUUUUGCCGUUUUUCUUUUACAAAUGGAGGAGAUGGACAUCACUUUUACAAAUGGAGGAGAUUGAUUUUGUCAAAUAAAUUAAAAACAAAAAGAAACAUAGAGGGAAAAAAACGCAGAGGAAAGGUGGUGGUGGUGGUGGUUCAUUAGGACUCAGGAAGAAGAAAAAUGCGAGAGAUAGAGAGAGAUGUUUGAGCGGCGGCUAGGGUUAGAGAAAGUCAGAAAACUGAGUUACAUCGGAGUGGUUAGGUUUUUUAUUUAUUUUAUGGGCUGGGCUGGGCAUUAAGCCCAAAUUAAGGCAUGUAUUUUGGGUCUGAGAGUACAAGUUUGAUUGUAUUUUUAUACGGGGAACAAAUUGCUUAGCCGUGUAUUUAUAGAUCUCGUGUGUUUCUAAAAAGUAUACUACACUAAUUUAUACGGGCAACAAAUUGUUGGUGAUGAAAAAUUUAAAUUAACUAUUAUUA